AUUGAACGCUGGCGGCAGGCCUAACACAUGCAAGUCGGGCGGAUGAAGGGGGCUUGCUCCUGGAUUCAGCGGCGGACGGGUGAGUAAUGCCUAGGAAUCUGCCUGGUAGUGGGGGAUAACGUCCGGAAACGGGCGCUAAUACCGCAUACGUCCUGAGGGAGAAAGUGGGGGAUCUUCGGACCUCACGCUAUCAGAUGAGCCUAGGUCGGAUUAGCUAGUUGGUGGGGUAAAGGCCUACCAAGGCGACGAUCCGUAACUGGUCUGAGAGGAUGAUCAGUCACACUGGAACUGAGACACGGUCCAGACUCCUACGGGAGGCAGCAGUGGGGAAUAUUGGACAAUGGGCGAAAGCCUGAUCCAGCCAUGCCGCGUGUGUGAAGAAGGUCUUCGGAUUGUAAAGCACUUUAAGUUGGGAGGAAGGGCAGUAAGUUAAUACCUUGCUGUUUUGACGUUACCAACAGAAUAAGCACCGGCUAACUUCGUG
rnacentral:rRNA from 1 species